UACAGAGGUCCCAAGCGUUGUUCGGAUUCACUGGGCGUAAAGGGUGCGCAGGUGGGUUUGCAAGUUCGAUGUGAAAGCCCCGGGCUUAACCCGGGAAUGGCAUUGGAUACUGCAGAUCUGGAGGAUCGGAGGGGGGGGACUGGAAUUCUUGGUGUAGCAGUGAAAUGCGUAGAUAUCAAGAGGAACACCAGUGGCGAAGGCGAGUCCCUGGACGAUACCUGACACUGAGACACGAAAGCUAGGGGAGCAAACAGG
rnacentral:rRNA from 1 species